rnacentral:lncRNA from 1 species
AACUAAGGAAGCAACUGAAAUGAAGCAAAUAGAAUUCAGACAGGAGAUGCCGAACAGACUGUCAGACACAUUUGUUUAAUGUCAUUACUGCCUGGCAACAAGGCAGUUCUUUUCCAUGUUGUGUGUCAACCAAGGCUGGUGUGCAGGCCUUCACAAGAGGUUUUUCUUUUCUUUCUUUUUUUUUUUUUUUUUUGGUUUUCUUUGGUUUUCUUUCAAGCCAUACAAAACUUUCCUCCUAUCCUAGUACAGUACUAGUUGCAGGCCCAGCCCUUCCAGCCAGCUCAAAGAAACGGAAAGGGCUCUGAGUUUCCUGUUUGGUAGCCAAAACCGCUCAUUUCUGGCCCUGUUUGGGAGUCUGGAAGGCAGUGAUUCCUUCUUAAAGUAGAACUGCUGGAUCCCAGUGUGGUGGAACACAUUUGUUAAGAAGGAAUGCAGGUCUGAUGUUAGUGUGGGCUACACAGCAAGACCCUGUCUCAAAAAUAAGAAAAACAAACAGGCUUUGGCUCGGCAGCACACAGUUGUAACAGGGGUGGAGGUAGCUGAAUGCAGAGGUGUGGGGAGCAGGUGUGACCUCUGGGAGUGGACUGGGCCCUUGAUCAUCUAAGGUAUGAGGAACUUGUCACCCCAGAAGGGGCAGGUUCCAAAUCUGACACUGCAGCUCCCACCAGCGCAUCUCUUGGCUCUUCUUUUACAUCUGUGAAUGGCUAUCACGCCUGCUUGACAGGCCAGUUAAGAACGGUGAGCUUAACAAUCUCUCACUGAAGGCUUCUCAGGAGCCUGAGGAAGAGAUGGAAAGCUGACUCAAUCCCUCAAGCCUCCUUUUCUUUGGUAACUUUGAUCUUUUGGUCUUUAAAAAAAAAAGUUUUUAUGUGUCCAAGUGAUUUAUAUAGGCUUGUACAUGAGCGCCGCAUCACAUGUAUGCCUGGUGCCCAGAGGUCAGAAGAGGGCAUCAGAUCCCCUGGAACUAAACUCAUGGCUGUUCAUGCUUUAUCAUAGGGGUGCUGAAAAUCAAAUCCAGGUCUACACCAAGAGCAACAAGUACUCUUGACAGCUUGAUCCUUCCCCAGCCUCUCUCUUAGAAUGACAAAGGGUGAAGCUUCAAAUGUCUUCAUAAGAAAAGAAUGAGGUUCGUGAGUUCAAGACCAGCCUGGAAUAGAAGAGGAGAUUCUGACUCAAAAGUGCUUGAGACAUAAGAAUGGAAACGUGACUUAAAUAUAACAUUCAGUGACUCUUGGUACAGUCACAGGUUGUACAAUCAUUGUCACUGUCUAAUUCCAGAACAUUCUCACACUCCAAAAAGAAAUCUCACAGCACCAGGGACCAAUCAUCCUUUCUCUCUCCUGCCUCGGCGUCUGCUAGGCAGGCUCACUUCUACCUCCAUAGCGCUGCACAAGGCACUAUACUUAAGAGGCGUUAGAGCAUCUCAUCAGGGUGGUAACGAGUGUUUCAGUAGAGGGACAGGAGGAUUAGUAAGAUCUUUUCCUUUGGAAUUUUGGCUGGCGCCACCCCUGACCCAGCAGGAAACAGAUGUGGCAUGUUAUGAGAAAGGGUCAGGUCAGCCACUUUCCUAUUAUUCAGUCUCAUUCUUUUCUCUUUAUAUCAUUAAUGUCUUGGGGGGGGGGAACGGAUCUAGUAUCAGGGCAACAGGCUGGAACCCAAGUAAAUAGCGCUAGAUCCUCCCUGGACCAUGGAAAGGUGUAAGAGUGGGGAAUCUAGAAAUGCUAGAAACUCCCAGAAUGAGAACACAUGUGCGGUUUAGCUACGAGCAAGGAUUUCUGCAAGGGACUUCUCCCAUCAUCCCUACAACAACAAGUGUCAAAGGAAAUGGACUCACAUGGAAACAGGGGAGACGGGUUAAUUAUAAAGGAAUUUCCUGACUGUGAUUUCCACACUGGGACAUAGGUCACCAUUCGUGUAUCUUCAUGACUUACCCAAAACUUUCACAUAGGGAUUGGUGUGAGCCUGGCACAAUGGUGUGCCUUGUAAUCCCAGCACCGGAGUCAGAGGCAGAAGCAGAAGAACUGCCUCCGGGUUGCUGAGCUGAGUACCAUAUGACCCAGAGUGACUUACAAUAGGGAGACAAUGUC